rnacentral:rRNA from 1 species
CGGACAGUGUCUGGUGGGUAGUUUGACUGGGGCGGUCUCCUCCUAAAGAGUAACGGAGGAGCACGAAGGUUGGCUAAUCCUGGUCGGACAUCAGGAGGUUAGUGCAAUGGCAUAAGCCAGCUUGACUGCGAGCGUGACGGCGCGAGCAGGUGCGAAAGCAGGUCAUAGUGAUCCGGUGGUUCUGAAUGGAAGGGCCAUCGCUCAACGGAUAAAAGGUACUCCGGGGAUAACAGGCUGAUACCGCCCAAGAGUUCAUAUCGACGGCGGUGUUUGGCACCUCGAUGUCGGCUCAUCACAUCCUGGGGCUGAAGUAGGUCCCAAGGGUAUGGCUGUUCGCCAUUUAAAGUGGUACGCGAGCUGGGUUUAGAACGUCGUAAGACAGUUCGGUCCCUAUCUGCCGUGGGCGCUGGAGAACUGAGGGGGGCUGCUCCUAGUACGAGAGGACCGGAGUGGACGCAUCACUGGUGUUCGGGUUGUCAUGCCAAUGGCACUGCCCGGUAGCUAAAUGCGGAAGAGAUAAGUGCUGAAAGCAUCUAAGCACGAAACUUGCCCCGAGAUGAGUUCUCCCUGACUCCUUGAGAGUCCUGAAGGAACGUUGAAGACGACGACGUUGAUAGGCCGGGUGUGUAAGCGCAGCGAUGCGUUGAGCUAACCGGUACUAAUGAACCGUGAGGCUUAACCUUACAACGCCGAAG